rnacentral:rRNA from 1 species
GACGAACCGUGCAAACGUUAUUCGGAAUCACUGGGCUUAAAGGGCGCGUAGGCGGAUUCUCAAGUCAGGGGUGAAAUCCUCCGGCUCAACCGGAGAAGUGCCUUUGAUACUGGGAAUCUCGAGGGAGGUAGGGGCGUGCGGAACUUCCGGUGGAGCGGUGAAAUGCGUAGAUAUCGGAAGGAACACCGGUGGCGAAAGCGGCGCGCUGGACCUCUUCUGACGCUGAGGCGCGAAAGCCAGGGGAGCAAACGGG